CGGAAGCACUUGGGUGCCCCUUCCAGCUGUGUGCCCCCCACCGUCAGAGCGCGAGGUCUUGGUGCCCUCUGUCACGUACGCGGCGGUGACACAUCCCCUCCUGCCACCCGAGGCACCACGGUGCUCAGGAAACCUACAGGAGCAUCUGGGAGGGCAGCACCAGUGCUUUGGGCACACAGCAGUGGGGCUUUGUGACCUCAACUCCAUGGGGAGGGGGAGACAAACAGGCCGGUAGGACUAGGGGAGGAAACACCCCCACUGCCAGCUUCGGCCAGGAGAUGUUUAGAUGGGAACUGAAGGACGGGGACCCCACGCAGCAGUCCGAUGUCUAACAGAAGGAGCAUGAAGGCAGCUGAAACGCCAGCUUAUUAGAUUUACUCUCCCCAGCAACACCCUGGCAUUUACAAACCUGUCUCUGCAGCCGGCGGUCUAACUUCUGGUGCUAUUUGCAUUUGGGGCUCCUCUCCCCUCCCGCUCCCGCAGCGAGGCAGCAGGGUGGCCAGGGCGCUCUCGCCCUCCUGUUUGCCUUUCCAGAGAAGGGAGCCAAACCCAAAGUUUGCAGUGCUGUUUGCACUGGCUGGCAAAAGGAUGCUCUUAAAAUCAGAGCCGCGGAGCGAGGCUGCACCGCCAGCAAUGUCAGGCAGAGAUCACACCUUGGCUUGCGCCUGCGAUUUCGUACUGCACCAUCACUGCAGAAGCUCACACGUAAUGGAAAGGCACAGGACACCAGCAGGAUCCGAGUGGGGAGGGAAACCAUACAAACCUGGAGAUUGCUGCCCCCGUCCGUGCCGGGACCGCUUUAACGCAGGCAGCGUUAGUCUGUUUUGCUGGGCUCACCAGCCUUCCUGAGCAUGUCAGUCUGAAGCUACAGUGCCAGAGCUCCACGAGACAGACAAAUCUCUCAAAAACUCGCUGUGAUACGAAGGCUGUAUCUGAGGGCUGUGGUACAAUGCAUCUCAUUUAACAUUUCUGGGAGAUCACUAAUAUAUUUGCUAUGCUGCUCACAUUUUGGGCUGGGGCAGUAGCUUUUUCUCUUUAUUCUACACAGCACAGAUAGAACCAGCACAUUUCUCCCUACAGCUAAAGUAUUAGUGCUGCUGGUUUAUAUUAUAGUAAUGCCUAAAGAAACCAAGAGACAGAGAUCCCAGUGUGAUAGGCACUGUGCAAACCCUACAAGAGAUUACCAUCCGAAACCACAGAAACAGACAACAGAGCCUGAAGAUGCCGUGUGUGAGCAGAGGAGAGGUACAGACAGAUGCAACCUCCAGUUCGAGGCUCUUUAGCAUCACCGUGGCAGAAAUGAAAAGAAAAUCUAACUUUUAGAUGAUCCCCAUAGCCACCAGGCCAUCCUGCUGCCAUACACAGAUGCACCAAACACAGCACUCCUGAAGUUGCUGGAAAAACUAGGGACAUCACAUAGAUAUUCAACCAAACACAGGGAGCUUUGCAUGGAAACACUGCACACUAGAGCCAAUUUCAGGUGAAAGCGAUCAGAUGCAUGUGUACAUAAUAUCGAGCAGCAAAAACAGCACAACUUCUAUCACUUGGAGUGUUUUUUCCAGAUUUCCAACGGUGGGAAGUGACUUAGGUUUGCUCCAGGAACAGUCAGGGCUGGAAAAUGCUAUAUACAACAGACAGCAAAGCAGCAUCACAAUCUCACUAGUAUUUGAAGGAAAUGAAACUUUAAUGCUGGUAAGAAAGCAGGAACCGAAGAAGGCAAACCUCCUCCUCCUCCUGGAACCCCUUUAGCUCUGAAAAACGUAAAUUGCUGGUUUUCUCUGUCAACUGUUCUUCCCCCCACAAUAAAUUAGUCUUACCGAUCCGAAUUUUGUCCCUUCAGCUCUGCAGUGGGAGCCUGGAAAAUGGUGUUUCCAGCACAGGGAGAGAACUAAAUGAGACUUGCCUGUUUAGAAAACCAUUUCUAAUCUAGGGCCACUGAUGAGGAAGAACAAAGAGUGGCAUUUGAAAGGCGCUGUGCAGAAGGGACUCUGCCAUGCACAAGGCUCUUUGAACAGGAACUGAAAAUCCCCAAGCGACUGCCCAGGAGCAGCUCCAGAUGCUGCUUCUGCACUAACCUAACACAGGCAAGGAGGUAUUGCUUGUCAGAGUUAACAAGCAUCUUGCACCAACCUGCAAUGUAUCUCAUUUUUUUCCAGGAAGUGUGAAAAGCGUGCUCCGAGUUUGGAACUUUGGCCUCAAUGUCAGAAUCAGCCAAAUCCACUUAGGCUUAAGGUGACCUCAUAUAAACAUGAGACAUUUGGGGAACAGAACCAAUACAUGACCUGUAGACAAAUCCUCUGUUGGAAAAAAAACAGUAAACCACCACCCUGUCCCUGGCUCAUUCAGCAGACUCCUUGGUAGACUGUUCUGCUCAUCAGCACAUCAUGGCCAGUUCUCAGAGAGCAAAGGUGAUACACUACUGCUAGCUUCUCUGCAAAGCCCACUCUUUACCCCUGUUUUUCCCAAUACUUUAAAAUUUGGCAACUGUAGAGAUGCAGAAGAGAAAAUAACUUGAACUAGAGAGAACUGCUGGCAUUCACUGAUUCUUCCUUCAAGGAAUAACACUGAGCCAGUAAUUCAGAUUUGUCAGAAAAAUGUACACAGAGCUUCAAUUUAGAAGGAAGCAAUAAAUACCUUGAUUGAUUGCAACCAAGUCUGGUUGACACUUAGCAGUACAGUGAAUUAUUCAUUCCUGGAAAGUAAGAUGCUAACUAGCUGAUUUGGUGCUUAAGGCAGCAAAAACAUUUUUGUUCUCUCAGAAGGGCACCGGACAUUUUACAGAGAAGAUUUGUUGGCUCCACAUUAAUAUGUUCUACGAUUUGCGAAAUAAUGUUCUGAUGCAUCGUCCUUAGCCUUCCAUCCAUGUGCCCCUAGGACACACACAAGUGAAACUUUCACAUCGACCACUGAGAAGGAAUUACCAGCCCACCAUUUGUGUCCCGACUGCGUAGACAUUAUGCGAGACAGCCACCGCAGAUGCAACACAAAUACUGUCUUAAUGAAGUAUGCUCCAGGCACACCCUGGGACAUGGAACAACAAUUUAUUAAGAUUGUGGCUAUCAAUAAACUUCCUGACAAAAGGCUAAAAGACCAUAGAAAAAAAGAACUUGCAACAGGACCAAUGUGCCAUCUAGAACAGAUGCACAUGGUCGAGUCAGAUACUUCUCUCAAUCACUCUUCUCCUGCUUCCAUCUCCCAGUCUGGAAUAAAACCACAGCACCUUGAGGAGAUAAUUGUGCAGAUGCUGCGUGUCAUUUUCUAAACUUAUAUCAUCGGCAAACGGUAUGUUGGCGCACAUGUUAGAAUUACAGCUCCAAAACUUUCCAAGUCGUCUCCCCAUUAGGGAAGAAUCAGUCAAGUGACAAAACAAUGAACGAGGACAAGAUUGCUUUAAUCUCUGAAAAACAGAAACUUUUCCCUUAGACGAGCAGUUGUUAGGAAGAACAAUGAAAGCUGCCAGUGACAGCACCUUGAAAAGGGCUGAGCUUAUUCUGGCAUCUCUCCUCAUGAUCGCUUGAAAACUGCACAGUCUCAACUCAGAGACGUCUUUCUCCAGGAGCUACAAAAGCUUUCACUUCCACAGGCCCACAGAUAUUGCUAAACCAAAGGUAGAACUGGUGGCAAAGGGAAUAACCUCAGCUGUUGUGAAUGCGUCUGUCUAACGUCACUUAAUGAAAUUAAAGCCGAGAAGUUCCCGCAUCCCAAGGAAGCAAUGAUCGUCACCAACAGCAAGCACUGUCAAGGAUUUUCAGCUGACUUCCAAUCCUCGGAGGCUCCUCCCGUUUAUUGCACUGGCAGGCAAAUUGCUCCAAACCCAUAGAUGAGGCUGAUGCACAGUGAAGUGCCGUAUUUUUUCAUAGCUUUGAUGUCUAUCAACCUUAAAAGAUUAGGCUUUCCGAGCAGUACAAUAAAUUCUGGUGCAGCAUAUGGACAGCUGAGUUUAAUCGCUAUGCGCUUGCAAUGCAACAGAUUGUGCUUGCCCCUGCUGAGAAAAGGCUGUCGGUUGGAAGCUCUUCAAGGGAAGGACCAUUUCUUCCUUUGUGCGGCUCUCGCACACACUGAGCGCCACCCAAAUACGAGCAGCACACACUGCUGCUUUCUGAGCUAAGGAAUUUGUUUCCGUGCUGACGUCUUAAAAGAAAAAUCUUCAACGUUUCCGGACUGGGACGCAUUAUUCAAUACCGGCGAACGUAAAUAGAAACGAUCUAAGGGGAUUAGUGGAAUGCAUCAGCUUUAAAGGAAUGAUGGGUCAAUAGUUACCUUGGAAGAACAUCCCAAAUGACUACAUCUACCUGGAGGAGAUGGAUGAGAAAGUUUCUUAAAUACAGAUCAAAAAAUGUAAAUAAGCCAUUGGAGAGAUGGUGGAGGGGAGUGUCUGAAAAGCAUCCAACUGGCCAGAGAACACACUUGCUUCCAUCUGCUACCUCUCACAGGCGAAAAGUAGCUUAGAUGGUGAAUGCUAACACUCAGCAGAUAAUGGGGUACAGACAUGGGGGGAUGAAUCUCCAAAGCUGAAUUUGUGAGUCCUGAAGAAGCAGCCUGCUACUUGCCCGCUGCCAGUACAGCCUGGUUUUAAAGUUUGGUAAGUUCUGGACUAAAAUAAAAAUGGCAUAUCCUGUACCCUCCAAAAACAGUGAGAAAUGAGAUAGAAUCACUGCCUAGGAGGCCAAUCAGAAGCAGGUCAAUGAUUUAUAGCAUUUAGGUUAGGAGAACCAGGGACUUGGGGCUCCAGCAAGAAAGGUGGUGCCAAAAAGAGGGGUUCCCAAAACCAGAAGUGGUCUGAGAAAGAAGGGGACGCUCCUGGCUGGAGGAAAAAUCCUGGAAGUGAAGGAAGAUGCUGGAGAUCAGAGAGGUGCUUGGAGACAAAGACCAGGAGAUGCCUGGGGACCUUGGCCAGUAACACCAGUGACUGGUGACCACGAGCAGCACAAACCAACCCAACGCUCUGCCCAACCUUCCCACCUCAGCAGCGACCUCCCUGUGGGGAGGGGACAUCGAGCCUGAGAGAAGGCAGUGAUGAGGUAGGGGAAUCAGCAAAUAACUGGGAAAAAGCAAAUCCCAGUGUCCAGAUCUACCAUGCUAUUUACUCUGUCCCACCCAAGACUGUCUCCUCUCUUCAUUUUGUGACAAAAUGUUACUGGAGGCCUCUGGCUGGUCUUUCUCGCUGUGUCAGGAUCCAGCUAGAGAAUUCUUGCAAAAUCCAAGUUUCUGCUGCUAAAAGGGCUGACACUGCUUUUGGGGACCUGCAAAAGCUUAUUCUUGGAUUCAGGUCCUUCUGAAAUCAGAGCCUUACACAGGUCAAGCUGCAAUAGAAAUGCAUGCCCUUCCCAAGGCUGCAGGCUUCUGGAAUGACUGCCUUACUCUUCCGAAAACAUGGGGUAUUUGUGAGUAAACACAGCUCCACACACGCAUGGGCUCCACACACAGCCAAUAAAUACUCUGCUGCUUUUAGUGAAUUAUGAAAGCUGAGAAGUCACAAAUCAUUAGAAGUCUCUGCUCAACGCAUUUAUCUUGUAGCGUAUACUUAAUGGUAUAGCAUUUACAUCGAGAAUCAUCUGUUUUUAGUCUUUCAUCAAUAUCCCUUGGAAAUUCUACUCUAAGAUGAAAAAUAAAGAAACACAGUGGGAAGGCAAAAUUGGAAUUUAUCACCUGAACGGCACAUGCAAAUUCUCCAGCAAUCAUAGCUCUUGUUGCAGUUGCUUAUUAAACUAGAGUCAGCCGGGCUACGCAGGUGAGCAGCUUCAACUGG